rnacentral:lncRNA from 13 species
GUUGCAUUUACUUAUGUGAACUAGAGUGCAUUUUUACCCUACCAAGUUUGUACCCACUCCAUAGAGAAGUCAUCAGCACUCAGAUGUUCCUUCCUCCUCUCCUUUUCUUUUCAGCCAGGCUCCACUUCCGGAAGAUCAGGCUAUCUAUCAGGCAAGACCCAGCUCCUGUACUGUACAAGAGGAUCCCUUCUCAGCUUUCCACUUCUACUCCUCAGACACAUCAAAACCAAAGAGAAUUCAAACUUCUGAAUGUGUGCAUAACCAACAGUGCUAAUCUUGUAAUGUUAUGGCUGCAGAUAUCUUCAGCACAAGCUUUGGAGCCAGACUACCUAAUUUGAAUCCUGCUUCAGGUACUAAGCUAGACACGCAGUAGAUCCUUGGGCCAAUUAUCUAACUUAGGUUGCCUCCAUUUUCCCAUCUGUAAAAUGGGGAUAAUUACAGUACCCAUCUCAGAGGGUUGCUGUUGAGGAGUCAAUGAGAACAUACACAGAGAGCACUUAG